GAUGAACGCUGGCGGCGUGCCUAACACAUGCAAGUCGAGCGAACAGACGAGGAGCUUGUUCCUUUGACGUUAGCGGCGGACGGGAGAGUAACACGUGGAUAACCCACCUAUAAGACUGGGAUAACUUCGGGAAACCGGAGCUAACACCGGAUAAUAUAUUGAACCGCAUGGUUCAAUAGUGAAAGACGGCUUUGCUGUCACUUAUAGAUGGUUCCGCGCUGCAUGAGCUAGUUGGUAGGGUAACGGCUUACCAAGGCGACGAUGCGUAGCCGACCUGAGAGGGUGGUCGGCCACCCUAGAACUGAGACACGGACCAGGCUCCUACGGGAGGCAGCAGUAGGGAAUCGUGCGCAAUGGGGGGGAGCCUGACGGAGCAGCGCCGCGUGAGUGAUGGAGAUCUUCGGAUCGUGAAACUCUGUUAUUGGGGAAAAACAAAUGUGUAAGUAACUGUACACGUCUUGACGGUAACUGGUCAAGAAGCAACGGCUAACUACGUG
rnacentral:rRNA from 1 species